ACUGUGAGACCUACAAGUCGAUCAGGUGCGAAAGCAGAGCAUAGUGAUCCGGUGGUUCCGCAUGGAAGGGCCAUCGCUCAAAGGAUAAAAGGUACUCCGGGGAUAACAGGCUGAUCUCCCCCAAGAGCUCACAUCGACGGGGGGGUUUGGCACCUCGAUGUCGGCUCGUCACAUCCUGGGGCUGGAGAAGGUCCCAAGGGUUCGGCUGUUCGCCGAUUAAAG
rnacentral:rRNA from 1 species